rnacentral:misc_RNA from 1 species
GCUAUUCUAACGGUUUGCCAUGGUUUGCCUCGGGGUUCCUGUGUUGCCUACCAUGAAAAUGGUAUUUCGAUUAUCCCGGAAUAUUUGUUCCAUCCAGGUCUCCUUGUGGAGAUGAUGGUGGAUUCAGUGCAACGCAUGCGUUCCACUUUACUCUGUGAGCCUAUUGUGGUAACUAUUGCGGUUGUUGUUCUUUUGGAUGCGGUGAGUGCAUGCAAUGAACGUGGCUUCGAUUGUCCCGUUUAGUUAUAAAUAUUUGGUUGCCUUAGAAUGACUUGCCCCGGUGCUUGUUGUGUUUUCCAUUUAGGAAGACAAUGCUUGCA